GACAGGACUCUCGGCAAUGGAUAUCUCGGCUCUUGCAUCGAUGAAGAGCGCAGCGAAAUGCGAUACGUGGUGMGAAUUGCAGAAUCCCGCGAAC
rnacentral:rRNA from 1 species